rnacentral:tRNA from 1 species
UUCCGAAAUCUGGGAUUGAACCAGGGACCUUUAGAUCUUCAGUCUAACGCUCUCUCAACUGAGCUAUUUCGGC